UCGGGAAUUUUGGGCAAUGGGCGAAAGCCUGACCCAGCAACGCCGCGUGAAGGAUGAAAUCCUUCGGGAUGUAAACUUCGGAAGAAUAGGAAGAAUAAUGACGGUACUAUUUUUAAGGUCCGGCUAACUACGUGCCAGCAGCCGCGGUAAUACGUAGGGACCAAGCGUUGUUCGGAUUUACUGGGCGUAAAGGGCGCGUAGGCGGCGCAAUAAGUCACUUGUGAAAUCUCCGGGCUUAACUCGGAGCGGCCAAGUGAUACUGUUGUGCUAGAGUGCAGAAAGGGCAAUCGGAAUUCUCGGUGUAGCGGUGAAAUGCGUAGAUAUCGAGAGGAACACCUGAGGCGAAGGCGGGUUGCUAGGCUGACACUGACGCUGAUGCGCGAAAGCUAGGGUAGCAAACGGGAUUAGAUACCCCGGUAGUCC
rnacentral:rRNA from 1 species